UACGGGGGGGGCAAGCGUUGUUCGGAAUUACUGGGCGUAAAGGGCUCGUAGGCGGCCAACUAAGUCAGACGUGAAAUCCCUCGGCUUAACCGGGGAACUGCGUCUGAUACUGGAUGGCUUGAGUUUGGGAGAGGGAUGCGGAAUUCCAGGUGUAGCGGUGAAAUGCGUAGAUAUCGGAAGGAACAUCAGUGGCGAAAGCGGCUUCCUGGACCAGUACCGACGUUCAGGCACGAAGGUCAGGGGAGCAAACGGGA
rnacentral:rRNA from 1 species